UGUCGUAUGGCUCCUAUAAAAACAGAGCGUUUCCUACUGUUGUCAUAUAUGUGCGGAGAUCACAGAGGUAGAUUGAACUCAAAUUGAUUCAAAGUUCUUCAGUUGUUGCGACCUUGUCAAGUAACAUAUGUAAACAUUUUACUGCUUUUCGUGUGAGAAGCGAUAUAAACAAUAAUUAUCAAUGAAUCGCACAUUGCAAAUAUUAUACACUGUUCCUCUUAUAAUUUUAUUUUCAGUCAUUUUAAAUGUAUCUACUAAUAACGUAACUUUAAACAAAGAAAAUAGUACAAAAAAUCCGAUACAAAAUAAUAUUUCAGAAGAAUAUGCAUAUUUCAUAAAAGUUUACUUAAUAAUAACUGGUGUGAUAAUAAUAAUCAUAGUGCUGCUUCUGUGGUUCUGUCAUUGCUGUUGGGAAUGGUACUCGAGAAAACGCAUAACUGCUAGACUGCACCAGCUGCGACCUAGACGUGUAGGCCCAAAUUUCGAACAAGAGAACAGAGAACAACUGAGAAGAUUUAGAAUUGAAUCUCAAUUCUAGAAUUGAAAGCUGCGUUGGACCCAGCGGUGGAUGGGCAGAAACGUACGCAAACAUACGCAAGCUUGAACAUAAAUUCGGGAGUAAAUCGACAUUUAAUAGCAAAACUAAAGAAAGAGAACAAAACCGUCAUCAAUAUAAACAUAAAAAUAAACGCAAAGAUGAAAGCGAAGAUCAACAAAUGAACUUUAGCUUUCAAAAUGCAGGUUACAUGUCACAAUCAGAUGAAAACAUAAAGGAACUUGUAGUCCCAACUCUAGCAAACGUUUUGCCUAAAUCUGCCAAAAUAUCUGCAAACAAUUCGCCUGGUCCUAGUAGCAGAAAAUCUAGUAAUAGCUCUGGCGUCAGUAUAAGCGCAAUAAAAAUAGCACAUAAAGCAGAUGUUCAUGCUGCAGAUGAAAAAGAUGAUUAGCGAUGAUUCAAUGAGUAUUAAUUGUAGAAUAAAGUAUCAUAUUUAGCUAAAAUCUUAAUUUUAAGUUGUCUGUACUAUGCAAAUUAUACUAUGUGCGAAUUGUUUAUAAAAUAAUCUUUUUAAUAAAUUUAUGACCUAAUAA